rnacentral:rRNA from 1 species
CCUACGUGAGGCAGCAGUGAGGAAUAUUGGUCAAUGGGCGCGAGCCUGAACCCGCCAAGUAGCGUGAAGGAUGACUGCCCUACGGGUUGUCAACUUCUUUUAUAAAGGAAUAAAGUGAGGCACGUGUGCCUUUUUUUCUGUACUAUAUGAAUAAGGCUCGGCUAACUCCGUGCCAGCAGCCGCGGUAAUACGGAGGAUCCGAGCGUUAUCCGGAUUUUUUGGGGUUAAAGGGAGCGUAGAUGGGUGUGUAAGUCAGUUGUGAAAGUUUGCGGUUCAACCGUAAAAUUGAAAUUGAUACUGGCAGGCUUGAGUACAGUUGAGGUAGGCGGAAUUCGUGGUGUAGCGGUGAAAUGCUUAGAUAUCACGAAGAACUCCGAUUGCGAAGGCAGCCUACUAAACUGCCACUGACAUUGAUGCUCGAAAGUGUGGGUAUCAAACAGGAUUAGAUACCCCUGUAGUC